CCUACGGGGGGCAGCAGUGGGGAAUAUUGGACAAUGGGCGAAAGCCUGAUCCAGCCAUGCCGCGUGUGUGAAGAAGGCCUUCGGGUUGUAAGGCACUUUCAGUGGGGAAGAAAGCCUUGGGGCUAAUACCCUCGAGGAAGGACAUCACCCACAGAAGAAGCACCGGCUAACUCCGUGCCAGCAGCCGCGGUAAUACGGAGGGUGCGAGCGUUAAUCGGAAUUACUGGGCGUAAAGCGCGCGUAGGCGGUCUGAUAAGCCGGUUGUGAAAGCCCCGGGCUCAACCUGGGAACGGCAUCCGGAACUGUCAGGCUAGAGUGCAGGAGAGGAAGGUAGAAUUCCCGGUGUAGCGGUGAAAUGCGUAGAGAUCGGGAGGAAUACCAGUGGCGAAGGCGGCCUUCUGGACUGACACUGACGCUGAGGUGCGAAAGCGUGGGUAGCAAACAGGAUUAGAUACCCCAGUAGUC
rnacentral:rRNA from 1 species